rnacentral:antisense_RNA from 1 species
UUCAAUGGGCGGGCCUUGGCGGGGAGACUUUCGAGUCUGCUGGUUUCUUCGGUUGCCAGUUCGCCAACCCUGCCCUGUGCCCGCUCACCCCA